ensembl:lncRNA
CUUCUACCCUCCGCGCAGGAGAAAGUGCCCAUCACUGUCCAGAGCCAAGACUUUUGGGAGAAGACAGGACAAGGGAGGUACUAAGAACGGCACACAGCUAGGACUAUUCUGGAUGCGUAGAGACAAGACCAUCCAUACCGAGCGCCAUGAAGAAGUGCAGAAGGAAGUACAGCCUCCUGAGUGUAAAGGAGAGAAAGCCCUUCCUCAGUCCUCUUGGCUACCCCUUGGAAAUGGCAGACAUUGCUGCUGGGAAGUGUCCCAGCCCAGCAGGAGCAGAAAAUGGCGCCGGAGUCCGCUUCACCCUUGGGCCCUGCCCCAUCACAGAGCUCUGGAGGCUCGCGCUGAGAGGCGCAGGUGUGUUCCGCGCCAGCGGCAUCUUGUGUGUGCCCUGCCCCUCGGUGCCUGUAGUGUUGUUCUCCAUACCUCAGGGGGCAGAGCCAGGCCAUUCUCAUGGUGACGCACCUGCCACCUUCUUCCUGCCCAGGAGCUGGGAAGAGGCCCCCCACAUCCUGCACGAGGUUAAGUCUGAGGAAUGGCUUUGCCAUGGCUGCCGUAGUGCCCUUUGGCCAUGGAAUAACUGAAAGACUCCUUUUAUGUAUUGAUCUUCAGUGUCUGGAAUGAGAGCUCUGGAGAAGCAGAGAGACCCAGGAGUCUUCUGAUAAAGUUACAGGAGGUGUCAGAGCUACUUGGCAGAGACGGAUGGCACCUUCUGUGCACUUGGCCGUGGCCACGAAGAGCAGAGCACCCAGAGACUAUGUCAAAGGGCAGUCAUUACAGUCAGAUAUGCAGGUAGGAUGCAUAGAGUUAGAAGGCUCCCCUCCUCUCUUUUGCGAAGCCCACAGAAUACCACUCCCUCUCUGCCAGGCACAGACCAGAGCUGAGUUGGACACCAUGAGUUUAUACCAUGCUUUUCAUAAUAGACACCUCAACACAAUUCCUUGGAGAGAAUUUAUGUAAAGAAAUUUCUGAAAAGAAAUUGGGGGGGGACGAAGAGACCCCACUCUGAUUUUAGAGCAUACUGAAAAGAAAGGGUCUGUCAGGUCAAGGCAUGUCUUUCCUCUUCUCCCCACUGACUGCCUCCCAGAGGGGAAGUUAGCAAAUACGCAGCGUUCCGAGGACUUCAUCAAUCAAGGCUGCAUUAGGAAAGUGUGACACGCUGAAGACAGUUUGGUGGGCACUGUUUCAGACUUGAUUCUUCAUUAGAGGGAAGCUGGGAGGGAAGUGGGAACAAAGCAAGCUGACAGGGAUGCGUACGCCAACGGCUAAAUCACAUAAACAGUGAGUCAUCUGCCUUCACCAAGCCCUUCUCUGUGAAUGCUGCCCGUGAACUUCGCCGCCUGCUUGUAUUUGUCAACUGCAAACAGGUUUAGAAACAUUAUUCUGAUAAAGUGUGGAUUGACUUCAUUCGUGUCCCCCUAAAGGAUUACCCCAAGAGGUGAACUUGGGAGUGACCCUUUUUUAAAAAAAUUUUAUUUGAGAGAGAG